GCGUUGGUGGUUUAGUGGUAAAAUUGAUCGUUGCCAUCAGGAUCCGCAGUUUCAAUACCAAGAAGCUCAAAAUCCCGAUCUCGAUCAGCCCCGGGUUCGAUUCCCGGCCGACGCA